CAUGGCCACUCUUCCUCUUCCACCAUAAGCCCUAAACCCUGCCAAAGGAGGUUGCCCAAGGCCCAGACGGCAAGGACAGGGCUCCAGGAGCAGCCCAGGGCCUCACCAAGGCUCCCUGACCACCCAUAAGAGGGAGCAGGGUCCCUCCGGGAUACAGAGCCACCCCCAGAUACGGCCCCACACUCACUCUCUGGCGUGCCCACUCCAAUCCGUCAGGGCAAGCCAUCCCAUACCUGCCCCACCUCCAGGUCUGCUGUGCAGGGAAGGGAAAGGAAGCUGGG
rnacentral:lncRNA from 1 species